rnacentral:lncRNA from 1 species
UAUGUUUUUCCUUCAUGGUAUUGUAGUGUGCAUCGGAUAAUUGAUAUAUUGGAUUGAUAAGGAUUGGGUCGAGAUUGUGAAUCCUAUGAUGUAGAGAAAAUGAUGAAGUAUGAACGAGUGGCAUCUAGUUAAUAGUAAACUAUGAAUGAGUGGCAUCUAGUCGAUAGCGGACAAACGGACAAUCUAGUUAAUAGUGUAUGUGACACCUAUGGACUAUAAGAUGAUUGUGA